rnacentral:sRNA from 1 species
UAAGGGCCCUCCAGGUUCUCCAUGUGCC